CGACACGGGGAGGUAGAGACAAUAAAUACUGAUACAGGGCUCUUUUGGGUCUUGUAAUUGGAAUGAGUACAAUUUAAAUCCCUUAACGAGGAACAAUUGGAGGGCAAGUCUGGUGCCAGCAGCCGCGGUGAUUCCAGCUCCAAUAGCGUAUAUUAAAGUUGUUGCAGUUAAAAAGCUCGUAGUUGAACCUUGGGCCUGGCUGGCCGGUCCGCCUCACCGCGUGUACUGGUCCGGCCGGGCCUUUCCUUCUGGGGAACCUCAUGCCCUUCACUGGGCGUGUUGGGGAACCAGGACUUUUACUUUGAAAAAAUUAGAGUGUUCAAAGCAGGCCUUUGCUCGAAUACAUUAGCAUGGAAUAAUAGAAUAGGACGUGUGGUACUAUUUUGUUGGUUUCUAGGACCGCCGUAAUGAUUAAUAGGGAUAGUCGGGGGCAUCAGUAUUCAAUCGUCAGAGGUGAAAUUCUUGGAUUGAUUGAAGACUAACUACUGCGAAAGCAUUUGCCAAGGAUGUUUUCAUUAAUCAGUGAACGAAAGUUAGGGGAUCGAAGACGAUCAGAUACCGUCGUAGUCUUAACCAUAAACUAUGCCGACUAGGGAUCGGACGGUGUUAGUAUUUUGACCCGUUCGGCACCUUACGAGAAAUCAAAGUUUUUGGGUUCUGGGGGGAGUAUGGUCGCAAGGCUGAAACUUAAAGAAAUUGACGGAAGGGCACCACCAGGCGUGGAGCCUG
rnacentral:rRNA from 1 species